rnacentral:lncRNA from 1 species
GAACCCAUAAUCUUUAAUCCAUUGACGACAAUGAUAAAACUGAACUGUAAAGUGGCAUAUUGACCCCACAAGAUCGUUACAUUGGAAACAAAAAGGAACACAAAGGACGAUACACUUGACAACCCGGGGUGCUCCAAUGGACAACGCAGGUAACAGUGAAGCUUCAAGACCAUUGUUACACGGUAUGCAGUCUCGCUACCAGCACCUGAGUAAAAUACAGCUUAUGUUAUAAACCACAGGAAAAGAAAUGUGACGCAACAGUAACAUGUUUUUCUACAGGUGGUCAUUUCGCAGGUUGCAGAGUAAUCAACAGAAAAUAUACCUUUCAGUCACUUACAGAUCUUCUUAUCUCAGCUGCUGAAAAUUUAACACCACUAUAUUACAUGUUCUACCAACAAUGUUCCUGCCUUAAUUUGCCAAGGUUUACACAAUUUUAGUCUCCCUUAGAUUUUUAUAUCUAUUGCUUAAUUUAGGAUUCACCAACCCUGAUUUUUUUGUGAUACAUAUGUCUAUAGUAAAUUCUUUCUCAGUCCACAUCAUUCCUAACAAAAAACAAUAGAAGACAAUAACUACUGAAGUCGAGUUAAAAUCAAAAGCAAAAAAGAAACAUAAACCAAGUUCAAGUGAGUUAAACAACAAGAGUCAAUGUCGAUAAAUUCCGUUUACCAAAUCCGGGAAGAAGGGUCACCAACUAUGAUCAGGCGGGCAUUGGCCCUUGUCUCUAAUGAGGCAAUCACAAAAGAUGGCACACGUCUCCUUGAUCACAAACGGUGAGCAGGGCGCAUAGCAAGCUCUUGCAGCCACGUUAGGGCAGCAAGCUUGCUUGGCGGCCUCGACUUGGAUCGGUGGUGCUGCAACUAGAAAGAUCAUGACUGCCACUAUGGCCAAGCUCUUAAGGCACUUUCCAUCCAUAUUAUUAACACACAGAGAGAUGAGGUAGGGAGAGAGAGAAGAUCGAGUUGCUGUGUACUCAACU